CGCAAGGCGUGGCAUACGGCUCAGUAACACGUAGUCAACAUGCCCAAAGGACGUGGAUAACCUCGGGAAACUGAGGAUAAACCGCGAUAGGCCAAGGUUUCUGGAAUGAGCCAUGGCCGAAAUCUAUAUGGCCUUUGGAUUGGACUGCGGCCGAUCAGGCUGUUGGUGAGGUAAUGGCCCACCAAACCUGUAACCGGUACGGGCUUUGAGAGAAGGAGCCCGGAGAUGGGCACUGAGACAAGGGCCCAGGCCCUAUGGGGCGCAGCAGGCGCGAAACCUCUGCAAUAGGCGAAAGCUUGACAGGGUUACUCUGAGUGAUGCCCGCUAAGGGUAUCUUUUGGCACCUCUAAAAAUGGUGCAGAAUAAGGGGUGGGCAAGUCUGGUGUCAGCCGCCGCGGUAAUACCAGCACCCCGAGUUGUCGGGACGAUUAUUGGGCCUAAAGCAUCCGUAGCCUGUUCUGCAAGUCCUCCGCUAAAUCCACCUGCUUAACGGAUGGGCUGCGGGGGAUACUGCAGAGCUAGGAGGCGGGAGAGGCAAACGGUACUCAGUGGGUAGGGGUAAAAUCCUUUGAUCUACUGAAGA
rnacentral:rRNA from 1 species